UACGAACGCUGGCGGCAGGCCUAACACAUGCAAGUCGAACGGUUGUAGCAAUACAGCCGUGGCGCACGGGUGAGUAACGCGUGGGAAUCCGCCCAGUAGUACGGAAUAACAGUUGGAAACGACUGACAAUACCGCAUACGCCCUUCGGGGGAAAGUUUUUCGCUAUUGGAUGAGCCCGCGUCAGAUUAGCUAGUUGGUGGGGUAAUGGCCUACCAAGGCGACGAUCUGUAGCUGUUCUGAGAGGAAGACCAGCCACACUGGAACUGAGACACGGUCCAGACUCCGACGGGAGGCAGCAGUGGGGAAUAUUGGACAAUGGGCGCAAGCCUGAUCCAGCCAUGCCGCGUGGAUGAUGAAGGCCCUAGGGUUGUAAAAUCCUUUCGUUGGGGACGAUAAUGACGGUACCCAAAGAAGAAGCUCCGGCUAACUUCGUGCCAGCAGCCGCCGUAA
rnacentral:rRNA from 1 species